AAGAACUGAGGUCUCAUCAUUGCCUGAAGAUAUAUACUUAAAAUGAUUCUAUUUAUCACGACAAAAAGUUUCUCAAACUUAGCGUAUACCGUAUUGCAUUUCCUUAAUGGUAUACAACGCACUUAUGUAAACUCAUAUCAAAUAGCAUUCAAUGAAUUUCAUGGGAUGAAUAAAAAAUUAGUAUAGAAGUUCAAAAACUUCGUGCAUUAAUUUUUCAGACCUAGAACCCAUUUACCGUAUUCUCCUAUUCAAAAACUAUUGCUAGACGUAUUCUUUUGGAGGUAUAGCCUAUUUAAUUGCCUUUUAUAGCCUUUUCGCGAACUUUGGAAUGAAUAGGUAAUAGGAAUGUGAGCUUUUCCUUAAACAACUAGUAUACCAUUAAUUUCUCAUUGUUAAUUGAUUGUGAUAAUAAUGUGUUCUCGAUUAUUAUGAUUUUCUUUGAAUGCCUACCUACGUUGUCAAGUUUGUCAAGGUUUAUUACCAGAAAAUAAUGUUAGCAUUCUUAGCUGAAGACCAUUUCCAUUCAGUAAAAAUUUAUCGACAACGAACUUAACGGUAAACUAGUUAGUAUGGAGAUUAGUUUUACAAUGGCAUUAUAGUACUUGUUUAAGUUUCGCUUUUCACAAUAUUGUCAGCACUUAACUUCGUACCGGCCUAGCCUGAUUUUAUGCUGUAUUUUUUAUGAGAAAAUUAUAAUUUUCAAAUUUCCUUAUU